CGGUCAUUAGCUCAACGGUUGAGAGCAAUCGACUUUUAAUCGAUAGGUUUAGGGUUCGAAUCCCUAAUGACCGACCA
rnacentral:tRNA from 1 species